rnacentral:tmRNA from 1 species
UCACUUCACAUUCAUUUCACAAGGCCUAUAUAGGGCCUGCCGGUUUCGACCGGAUAUGGCGAUAAAUGGCCUUGUGUAAUAGAUGCAGCGGACCCGGGGGCAGUACCCGGCGGCUCCACCAAGAUCGGCGUUUUUGCGCCAGUGUUGACGGGGCCGAACCAGGAUCGACGUGUAUUCAAAGACAGGGUUUUUGCCCGGGCUGAGUAACCCGUAAAACUGUUCAAAACCUAUAAGUGCCAACGAUAACGAAGCACUCGCCAUCGCUGCGUAAUUGAUGGGCUAACGCCCUGAUAUUAUUAAGCUAUACAGCGCGGUUGGACCGACCGGGCAACAGAACGGAUUCCGGGGCUCCGGGGGUAGCUAGCAACAGAAACCCCCACU